GGAUGGUGCAGAAUCAAGGCUGUGCAGGAGGAUGUGGGAUGGUGCCACUUCAAAGUAAAAGGCAUGGCUUUGGCGACACACAUUUAAAUGAGCUGUGGGAAAAUAGGCACACAGCAGCUAUUUUUAAUUCAUGUUAAAACUUUCAGAGCCAGAGUUGCUCAUAGGUACUGGCUUCGGAUGUUGGAGAGGAAGGCUUUCUCAGCUGACCGCUAACUUCCUUGGUGACAGCAAGAAGGUGGGAAAGAGCCCAGGGAAAGUGGCAGGUAGCAGGGCCGGCCCGUUUUUCACUGUUUUAUCAUCACUCUCUCCAGACUCAGUUCAGCUUUGAGGUUUCCAGCCUUGUUCCUGUCCACACCACCCUCAGUCAGCUCCUUCAUGUAAUACUUCUCCUUCCCUUAAGGCCUGCUCUCAGGAAAAGAUCUAGAUGUCCCUUUCUUUGUAGACUGAUAGUAGCUUGAAUUCACCUUUACAGAAGUGUUUGUACUCUAGUGAGGCUGUUUCUCAACGCAAGGGGGGAGGCCUGAGCUGGACUCUGGCGUUAGUCUGCAGGUAUGGCCUCUUUCUGGGCAGGGGUCUUCCUGGCCCAGUGAAAGCAGAGUGUAUAGGCGGCUACCUUUCUGCGUCACUCUGACACACCCAGAUUCAGUUGGUGCUACUUAGAAUCAGGUUUUGUUUUAAUUUUUUGGCCACACCCAUGGCAUUUGGAAGUUCCCAGGCCAGGGAUUGAACCUGUGCCACAGUAGUGACAAUGCCAGAUCCUUAACCACCAGGCCACCAAGGAACUCAGCAUCAGGUUUUUAAAGCUGGGGAGAACCUGGUUAAGUUUUAUUCUCUUAGAGAUAAAGAAACUGAGACCCAAAGGGAUGAAAUCCUUCUCAAUGUGGCACUCGACUGCUGCAGCUGAUCAGCAUGCCAUGCAAGGUCAGCUUUGCCAUACUUAUUUGUUAAGGCUGGCAGAGGCAUUUCUCUUCUCUCUCUCUCUCUUUUAACAUUAGGAGGCCGUGGAAUCUACUCAAGCAGCUGGAAAAGCAGCAAAGUAUUCAUUUUAGACUCAUUUAGAGAAGCAAGCUCGGAAAUGCUUGGGCUGCUCCUUGCAACAAAUUUGGAUCCUCUUAAAAGCUUGUCUAAGCUUUAGCAUAUCCCCGUAGUGGGAAGUCUUUAAUAUUCACUGACGCAAGGAGGAGGUUUUGACCCUUCAAAUGUCACCGUACUUUUAACCGUAUAACGUAUAACCAAAUAACAAAGUAAAAAUACCUCCAAGUAAAGGGGAAUUAUUUGAGGUUCAAGUUUAGGGGACCAGCUGCUUUGGUGAAAUAAUCCACUCUGCGUUUUAGACUCUCUGGAAAAGAGACAUGAGGGAUGAGGGAUGGGGGCAUUAGAGUCUGCAAGUCCGAGCCCUACAGUCCACUGCUCUGCCUGGGUUCUCUUGGGAGAUGACUCAGGAGCUGGUCAGGGACCUUGGGCAGAGAACUGGUGAGAGGCACAGAUCACCUGUGCUGGGGUGUCAGCCCUUACUAGCUGAGGGAAGACAGGCAAGUUAAUUGACCUCCCUGUGCCUCAGUCUCCUGAUCUGUAAAAUGGGGACCAUAAUAGUAUCUCCUUCCCAGAGUUGUUAUGAAGAUGAAUGGAAAUGCACAUUAUGUUACACACAAGAAAAAGAUUGCUUUCACAAUCUAGAUUCACCGGAGAACUCCCUAUAGCCUCCCCCUUUCCUCUUCAUCAGGAGGAUCCACCAUGAGAGUCCCUAUAUCUCAACCCGGAGAACUCCUCAAUCCUCUGGAGUUGCUCUUUUCGAAUCUUCAAACCCAGGAUCUUAGCUGUCUAUUUUCUGAAGCUGUAGAGACAGCCACUCAAGGAACAGAUUUUCUAGAGGAUACUUUAUUCAAUUAGUUAGUCAAUUCCCUUGUAGAUGGGAAAUUAUCCCUAAACCAUCCCCACCAACCGAGGAGCCUCUACAGUGAGAAGCAAAGAUGAUGUUGAGAUGUAACAAUAGGAUACCUCAUUUGCAAUGCAAAUGAGCAACCAGCAGGCAAAUAAACCCUUAUGGGAAAACCACUCUAAUCAUAAAAACCCCUUGCUUUGGGGAGACUGCAGUGUAAGGACAAACAGAAUCAUAUCUUCCAGGCUCUUCUCCAAUACAGGAUAUUAAAGAAUUAUCCAGGUAGUUCUCUAUGAAAUUGCAUUUGAAUAUGGCAAAAUGCAUUGCUGGACAAUAGAUAAUAUCUUUAAAACUCCACAAUUGUGGACUGAAUUAUUUAUGGUUGUCACUAUAGCUAUGAUAGUUUGGAAAUAAAAUCGUCAGGCUUUUCUCUGUUUUUAUUUGUAGGAAAACAAGUCAUUCAAGCUUUUUAGUGAUACAAUGUGACUGGCUGUCGAUGGCAGUUACAAUUUUUCAAGCCCUGCCAAACACAGGAGUACCCAGAAGGGACAUAUGUUUUCUGUGCUUUGUGUUCCAAAUUCGCUUUAAAAACAUGCGAUUAUGUGAAGGCCUGAUUUAUAUUUCCAAGGAAAAGCACAAUAAUGGCUGUUUUGUAGCUGUGUUUCUCGAAAACGUGUUUCUAUUGCUGCCUUUUCAAAAGAAUUUGGCUAAUGAUCACUGGAUUUUCACUUUCCGUCAUGACGUAUUAAAAUUUGAUGAGGUCUGUGAAAUUUAAGAACUGAUUUCUUAAGUGCAGUGGAAAUGUAGUUAACAUCGUUUGGUACUGCAACCCUGGAAACAUCUUCUGUGGCUAUCUUUAAUCCACUUCCUUAUUUUUGUGGACAAUGGGAGAAGAAGAAGCAGGGGUAUUUGUAGCCAGGAGGCAAAGAGGGGAUAGAAUGACCAGGAUAACAAAGAGCAAACCUUGGAAGGUACGUAGGCCUAUAGGUAUGCAUGAGUGUAAGUAGAAGACAAGGUGUUGCGGACAUUUCCAGGGGACAGAGGGAUGACUCUGGAGAGGAAAGGAAAUUGUGAAGGAGGAAAUGAAGUUCAUUCAUUCACACUAAGCUGGAAGUAUAAGGAUUGUCCUUUACAAAGGCCAAAUUAUUGAGACAGUAGCUAAGAGACUGGAGGUGAGGCUGAGGCAUCCCCUGUGGUCUGUUCAAUGAACUCAGGAGAGGUGAUAAAAGAACCAAAUUCCUAACACCGUGGGUACCAAGAGCCUCUGGCCAUCACAUCAGAAAAUUUAGCCCAGAAAGAGUCCUCAGAUCAUUUCCCCCAGGGUCUCCUUGUGAUUCAGCUUGGGGUGAAAUGGAACGAGGAGCAGAGGAUGGGGCACGUGGCCGUUCUGAUGCACUGGACUCCUGUCAGGAAAGAGCAUCUUUGGAAUGCGAUCUGGCAAAACAUUUUUCGGUCUCCUGUUUCUGCUGUCAGUCCCAUUCCUGAUCUUUUCUCUCCCAAGUCAACGCCUAUUUUCUCCUUUCCUUCCAUGACCUGCUACUUCUUCCUUCCUUCCCGCCCAGUUGAGUCAAGCCUACCCCAGAAUUUGGGGCUAAGGAUUCAGUUGACUUGGAGGAAAGACUGGAAAUGAGGGUUGGAAUAUCCCAGGUGUUACUCGGAAGCUCACCUCUCCCACUGGCCUCUCAUAGAGAGGAAUUAUGGGUUUCCAGAAAUUGCAUUUUGUGGGCAUACCCUUAGCAUUAUAUGUUUUUAACUUAUUUUCUUUUUGCUUUGAUGAGUUCGAACAUCAAGUGACCCUUGAAGCGCUACAACACUUAAAUGCACUCUUUCAGGUAGGAACUGAGCAGGUGAGCUUCUAAACAUUCACUGGGUAAUUUGAUUUUCUCUUCGAUGGUUGGUUUUUUGGUGAAAAGUACAGUCCUUUUAGUUCCUAUAAAAUAGCAAUGAAGAGUAAAUUCUCUGUAAAUGUCACUUCUUAAUGGAAUUAGAAACAAAUUGUGAAUGCAUCAGAACAAAAGGGAUAACGUGUUAGAAGUUGACAGAGUUCAGGUAAGUCCAAUCAGACAUUCAGUUCUUUGGACUCUUGCUUUCAGACUAAACAAAAUACAGCUAUGUUCAUAGCUAAUUAUUCUCUUUCCAUCUUAGGAGUAUGAGAAAAGAGGAAGACAGCUGUUGGAUAUGGAGACUUUCAAAUGCAUAAUGAAGCAGAGCAUGAGGUUACAGAAUAAAAGUACUGAACAAAUAGAACAACUUUUCAUGAAAAUAGACUAUGAAGCAGUGGGCAGAAUUCAUUGGGAUGGCUUCUGCACAUAUCUGCAGUUAGCAUAUUCAGAGCAAGCUGAUGCUUUGGCUCGACAGAAAGAGGUUUCCUUCCAGCUGCCUGCUGUGCUGCAGGGACUGUCGUACGGGGGACCCGUGCUGCGCAUUCUCUCUGUGCCUGAUGACACCUUAAUCAUGAUCAGAGAAGAUGGAGCCAUUUAUUUCUGGUCCCUGCAGCUGAAGUUGAAAAGAAGAAAGCGAGUUUUUGUAUGUGAUUCUCAUUUGAUAAGGAUGCUGAAUGCUCCACUUUGAUUUUAUUUGCUAUUUUAAACUGCUCCUCAAGUGGCAUGAUUAUAGAAAUUGUGUCCUUGAAUAUAAUAUAUUCGUGUUGGAUUUUGCCAGUCUAUGGAAUGCAAAUAAAAUAUGAUCUCUAUAUGUAGUACA
rnacentral:lncRNA from 1 species